rnacentral:tRNA from 1 species
GGAUGUGGCUCAAGUGGUACAGUGCUCGCCUGGCAUGUGUGCGGCCCGGGUUCGAUUCUCAGAACCACAUACA